rnacentral:rRNA from 1 species
UACGAACUGUGCGAACGUUAUUCGGAAUCACUGGGCUUACAGGGUGCGUAGGCGGCUUUCAAGUCAGGUGGUGAAAGCCCCCGGCUCAACCGGGGAAUUGCGCUUGAAACUGGAGAGCUCGAGUCAGCUAGAGGUGCACGGAACUUCCAGUGGAGCGGUGGAAAUGUGUUGAUAUUGGAAGGAACACCGGAGGCGAAAGCGGUGCACUGGGGCUGGUCUGACGCUGAGGCACGAAAGCCAGGUAGCGAACGGG